rnacentral:rRNA from 1 species
CCUACGGGUGGCAGCAGUGAGGAAUAUUGGUCAAUGGGCUUACGCCUGAACCAGCCAAGUCGCGUGAGGGAAGACUGCCCUAUGGGUUGUAAACCUCUUUUGUCAGGGAGCAACGCCGGCUACGUGUAGCCGGACUGAGAGUACCUGAAGAAAAAGCAUCGGCUAACUCCGUGCCAGCAGCCGCGGUAAUACGGGGGAUGCGAGCGUUAUCCGGUUUUAUUGGGUUAAAGGGGUGCGUAGGCGGAAUGCCAAGUCAGCGGUAAAAUCGCGGGGCUCAACCUCGCUCCGCCGUUGAAACUGGCGUGCUUGAGUGGGCGAGAAGUAGGCGGAAUGCGGGGUGUAGCGGUGAAAUGCAUAGAUAUCACGCAGAACUCCGAUUGCGAAGGCAGCAUACCGGGGCCCAACUGACGCUGAAGCACGAAAGCGUGGGUAUCGAACAGGAUUAGAUACCCUAGUAGU